ensembl:misc_RNA
UGACCUCAGGGCGCCAUCGGUCCUCGUGGCCUAGUCGCCAUACACGCGCCCCCCAAGGCCUUAAAAUCACCCCCGCAGCAUAACCUCUUAGGGCGUUCCAACGCGGCGCCCCCUA